CUAUGUGUUGUUGGGUAGGGGAGCGUUCUGUAAGCCUGUGAAGGUGGCCUGUGAGGGUUGCUGGAGGUAUCAGAAGUGCGAAUGCUGACAUAAGUAACGAUAAAGCGGGUGAAAAGCCCGCUCGCCGGAAGACCAAGGGUUCCUGUCCAACGUUAAUCGGGGCAGGGUGAGUCGACCCCUAAGGCGAGGCCGAAAGGCGUAGUCGAUGGGAAACAGGUUAAUAUUCCUGUACUUGGUGUUACUGCGAAGGGGGGACGGAGAAGGCUAUGUUGGCCGGGCGACGGUUGUCCCGGUUUAAGCGUGUAGGCUGGUUUUCCAGGCAAAUCCGGAAAACCAAGGCUGAGGCGUGAUGACGAGGCACUACGGUGCUGAAGCGACAAAUGCCCUGCUUCCAGGAAAAGCCUCUAAGCAUCAGGUAACAUCAAAUCGUACCCCAAACCGACACAGGUGGUCAGGUAGAGAAUACCAAGGCGCUUGAGAGAACUCGGGUGAAGGAACUAGGCAAAAUGGUGCCGUAACUUCGGGAGAAGGCACGCUGAUAUGUAGGUGAAGCGACUUGCUCGUGGAGCUGAAAUCAGUCGAAGAUACCAGCUGGCUGCAACUGUUUAUUAAAAACACAGCACUGUGCAAACACGAAAGUGGACGUAUACGGUGUGACGCCUGCCCGGUGCCGGAAGGUUAAUUGAUGGGGUUAGCGGUAACGCGAAGCUCUUGAUCGAAGCCCCGGUAAACGGCGGCCGUAACUAUAACGGUCCUAAGGUAGCGAAAUUCCUUGUCGGGUAAGUUCCGACCUGCACGAAUGGCGUAAUGAUGGCCAGGCUGUCUCCACCCGAGACUCAGUGAAAUUGAACUCGCUGUGAAGAUGCAGUGUACCCGCGGCAAGACGGAAAGACCCCGUGAACCUUUACUAUAGCUUGACACUGAACAUUGAGCCUUGAUGUGUAGGAUAGGUGGGAGGCUUUGAAGUGUGGACGCCAGUCUGCAUGGAGCCGACCUUGAAAUACCACCCUUUAAUGUUUGAUGUUCUAACGUGGGCCCCUAAUCGGGGUUGCGGACAGUGUCUGGUGGGUAGUUUGACUGGGGCGGUCUCCUCCUAAAGAGUAACGGAGGAGCACGAAGGUUGGCUAAUCCUGGUCGGACAUCAGGAGGUUAGUGCAAUGGCAUAAGCCAGCUUGACUGCGAGCGUGACGGCGCGAGCAGGUGCGAAAGCAGGUCAUAGUGAUCCGGUGGUUCUGAAUGGAAGGGCCAUCGCUCAACGGAUAAAAGGUACUCCGGGGAUAACAGGCUGAUACCGCCCAAGAGUUCAUAUCGACGGCGGUGUUUGGCACCUCGAUGUCGGCUCAUCACAUCCUGGGGCUGAAGUAGGUCCCAAGGGUAUGGCUGUUCGCCAUUUAAAGUGGUACGCGAGCUGGGUUUAGAACGUCGUGAGACAGUUCGGUCCCUAUCUGCCGUGGGCGCUGGAGAACUGAGGGGGGCUGCUCCUAGUACGAGAGGACCGGAGUGGACGCAUCACUGGUGUUCGGGUUGUCAUGCCAAUGGCACUGCCCGGUAGCUAAAUGCGGAAGAGAUAAGUGCUGAAAGCAUCUAAGCACGAAACUUGCCCCGAGAUGAGUUCUCCCUGAGACUUAGAGUCUCCUGAAGGAACGUUGAAGACGACGACGUUGAUAGGCCGGGUGUGUAAGCGCAGCGAUGCGUUGAGCUAACCGGUACUAAUGAACCGUGAGGCUUAACCUU
rnacentral:rRNA from 1 species